CACCUGUCAACAACUGCAGAAAUUAAGUUGCAGGUAAGAAACUGAACCUGUGAAUACUGAAGACAGAAUAAUAAACUAACUCAUCAGCAGUUAGUCUGUCAUUUCAUCAGAGGAAGAUGAACUGGGAGGUUUUCUACCUUCAUCAUCAUCAUCAUCAUCAUCAUCAUCAUCACAGCACAUUAGAGAACUAAGGAUGUCCAUGCAGUCUCCCUUCAACCAGAUGAAUGGAAACUAAUGAGCUGCUCUGUACAUGAGGUCCUCCUUCUGUUGGCACAGAUCACUCAGUUUUCACAGUGUGGAAACCUUUCAAAUGACGAUAAAACACAAACACUUGAGUUAAGAUACGGUGGAUCACAGUUAAUCACAAAUAUCGAUCAGCUGUCACCAUAGGUGCAUGAAUGUCUGCUUCAGUUGAGGACUGGUUUGAGUAUUAAAUGAACAAUCUUCUAUAUGACAAAUAUCUGUCUACACAUUUUGUAAACGUCACGUUAUUUUAACUUGAACUAUCGCGAUGUCUUGAUGGACAAUGUAUUAACUGACAUUAACGCUGCGCAUUACACUAACGCAGAUCAAUUAAACUGGGUCACGUGGAGAAACACAAACCAAACGUCGUUAGAUUAACGUCGAUUAAAUUCACCUUUUUAUUGAGCUUUGACUGAACACCUCCACGGGCUAACCCAGGUUGACACAGGUUAUCAGCCCAGCGGGGCCAGGUACCGUUAGCAUAGCAAUCGCUAAGUUAUCAGCUAACGCUAGCACUAGCUGGCUAGCUUGGUUAGCAAGGUGCAUCUUCACCUGAACUGUGAUAUUAACAGGGAUGCUAAUUUUGGCUAGCAAAGAAACAGGCUUAAAACCAAAUGUACUUACCGGAAACAAUGAACUGCCGACUCCUCUGAGUGUCUUUUAGAACAACUGAACGCAGAACAAGAUAUUUACAGACAGAGAGGACCAGGAAACACACUGAGGAGCAGAAGUCUCCCGCGCAGCUGCCGCUUGGUCUGGACUGUUGUCUCCAGCCUCCCGCUCAUGGUUCCCAUCGCCGGGCAUCAGCCAGUUCCUCAUUGUUCCCCAUGUUCCAGAGACUCAGGGAUCUCGCCACAGAGCUUUACACAGUGUAGACGCCGAGCGUCUCCUGACGUCACUGGGGAAGCAGAGAGUGGGUUGUUCCACUGCAGCCAAACUAGACGGUCAUUGGAUAAAUGCUGGGCUUUGUCCCGCCCAUCGGACGCUCAGCGUCUCUGGGGGUCUAUGGGACAGUGGGCUGGCCCGGACGCUCGGCUUCUGCAUGAUGAUUGGAUGAUCUGUCUGAGGCUGAGUCCCUUUUUGAUUGACAGCGAAAUGAGCGAAUUAGCGAUC